rnacentral:rRNA from 1 species
GUCCAGACUCCUACGGGAGGCAGCAGUGGGGAAUAUUGCACAAUGGGGGAAACCCUGAUGCAGCGACGCCGCGUGAGCGAUGAAGUAUUUCGGUAUGUAAAGCUCUAUCAGCAGGGAAGAAGAUGACGGUACCUGACUAAGAAGCCCCGGCUAACUACGUGCCAGCAGCCGCGGUAAUACGUAGGGGGCAAGCGUUAUCCGGAUUUACUGGGUGUAAAGGGAGCGUAGACGGCGAUGCAAGCCAGAUGUGAAAGCCCGGGGCUCAACCCCGGGACUGCAUUUGGAACUGUGUGGCUGGAGUGUCGGAGAGGCAGGCGGAAUUCCUAGUGUAGCGGUGAAAUGCGUAGAUAUUAGGAGGAACACCAGUGGCGAAGGCGGCCUGCUGGACGAUGACUGACGUUGAGGCUCGAAAGCGUGGGGAGCAAACAGGAUUAGAUACCCUGGUAACC